UACGGGGGGGGCAAGCGUUGUUCGGAAUUACUGGGCAUAAAGGGCUCGUAGGCGGCCAACUAAGUCGGAUGUGAAAUCCCCAGGCUUAACCUGGGAACUGCAUCUGAUACUGGAUGGCUUGAAUCCGGGAGAGGGAUGCAGAAUUCCAGGUGUAGCGGUGAAAUGCGUAGAUAUCUGGAGGAAUACCGGUGGCGAAGGCGGCAUCCUGGACCGGCAUUGACGCUGAUGAGCGAAAGCUAGGGGAGCAAACGGG
rnacentral:rRNA from 1 species